AAGUCGAGCGAACGGACGAGAAGCUUGCUUCUCUGAUGUUAGCGGCGGACGGGUGAGUAACACGUGGAUAACCUACCUAUAAGACUGGGAUAACUUCGGGAAACCGGAGCUAAUACCGGAUAAUAUUUUGAACCGCAUGGUUCAAAAGUGAAAGACGGUCUUGCUGUCACUUAUAGAUGGAUCCGCGCUGCAUUAGCUAGUUGGUAAGGUAACGGCUUACCAAGGCAACGAUGCAUAGCCGACCUGAGAGGGUGAUCGGCCACACUGGAACUGAGACACGGUCCAGACUCCUACGGGAGGCAGCAGUAGGGAAUCUUCCGCAAUGGGCGAAAGCCUGACGGAGCAACGCCGCGUGAGUGAUGAAGGUCUUCGGAUCGUAAAACUCUGUUAUUAGGGAAGAACAUAUGUGUAAGUAACUGUGCACAUCUUGACGGUACCUAAUCAGAAAGCCACGGCUAACUACGUGUCAGCAGCCGCGGUAAUACGUAGGUGGCGAGCGUUAUCCGGAAUUAUUGGGCGUAAAGCGCGCGUAGGCGGUUUUUUAAGUCUGAUGUGAAAGCCCACGGCUCAACCGUGGAGGGUCAUUGGAAACUGGAAAACUUGAGUGCAGAAGAGGAAAGUGGAAUUCCAUGUGUAGCGGUGAAAUGCGCAGAGAUAUGGAGGAACACCAGUGGCGAAGGCGACUUUCUGGUCUGUAACUGACGCUGAUGUGCGAAA
rnacentral:rRNA from 1 species